GUGCUCGCUUCGGCAGCACAUAUACUGCAAUUGGAACGAUACAGAGAAGAUUAGCAUGGCUCCUGCGCAAGGAUGACAGAAUUUAAGAAUACUUUGCUGUUAUC
ensembl:snRNA U6 U6 spliceosomal RNA